UAUACUAACCCUUGCUCUCCCUUCUCUCUAGAACCAUCUGGUUCUCUCUCGUCUCCGAUGAGUCCACCGCCUCUCCGGCCUCCUCCAGCCUCACUUCUCUCGACCACCGGCCGCCGUGAAACUUUGUCUUGUUGAUUCCCUCUAUCUUUGAGACUCCAGAAGCCUCCACCAUGCAAGAUGGUCACUGGAAGCUUUGGAUGAUUGUCUCCGUCCUUUCUCUGAUGGUUUAUGGUUCGAUGGUGCUACGAGCAUCAUCAUUAACGAGUUUCACCGCUAGGUUCCUUGCCUCUCAAUGGUUUAUUGUGAAACCCUAACAUCUACCUAGACCUCUUAAUCUAUGUCUUUUAAAAAUUAUUUUUAACUUAUUCUUGUGUGUUUUACACUACUCUCUACUCGAUCUUUACAAUUGCUCAAGUUUUCAACGUUUUAUUCUUCUUUUAAAACUAGGAUCUCUGAACCUCUUUCGAAAUUGCUCUAUCUUCUGGUACAAUAUGUUUGUGCUGGUAUUUCUGCUUGUUUGUGUGAUCUUCUAGGUUACUUCCCAAUUUUUAUGUUUUAAUUUUAUUCUGACGUUCCACUGAUUCAAUGAUUUCUUACUUAGGGUUCUUUAGUUUUGUGCCUAUUGUGUUUAAAUAAGUCUAAUUGUUUCUAUUUACUAAAUAUUCUACCAAUUCUUUAUAUCUCUUUGAAUCCCUGGUUUUUUGUAUAUGAUUUCUUUGGAGAUUUUCCACUGAUUUGAAUCGCUUCCUUGUUUGUAAGAUGUUUUUCUUACUUAAUACUGAUUCUCUGUGAUUUUCCAUCUCGCCCGUGAUUUUCUGAACCAAUUGUUUUCGAAAUCAGUCUAUAAUCCAUCUGUUUAUGUGCACAAUAUAUUUUUAUUUUUACUUUCCUUACUCGUGAUUAUUUUGUACUAUAAGUCUUGUAAGCACUUUCCUUAUUUGAUGCAAUUUGUACCGUUUGAGCUAUCACUCCCUAAUUGAAGGAAAUUUGAGUUUUUAAUUGAUUUUAAUAGGUAUUCUUUCUAUUAUUGUAAUCAGUGUAUGUGUAUUACCUUAUUUUCCACUUAAUUUGAGAGCUAUAAGUACCCUACCCUCUCUUUAGCAUAGGACACGAAAAUUUUCAAUGUUUUGAACUCUCUCUUACACAUAUAAGCAUACUUAGUGUUCUCUCUUAUUUUUAUACACAUCCUCUCUCACUAUUCCUAUUGACUACUAAUUACUCAGUUGGCCGAAAGCCAAGACUGAGUGAUUUUGGGGGCUGCUUUACUAUUCUAUUGCUCUAUACAUUGCUACUUGCUUGGUCUGCAUACUACUGCUCUACUUCCCUGCACAUUACUGCACUAUAUUAUCUCAUCCUCGCCUGGUAUGCCCUCUAUUUGAUUUACAACCGCCAAAACAAUAUGUAUUAUACAUACUGCACUUUAUUUUGUUUCUUAUAUGCUUUUCCUUAUGGUUCUACUGUUCUUAUUGCAACUAACAUGCCCAUGUGUCAGUUCAUCCUUUUCUUAAUCCAGCAUGCCUGCUGAUUUGCUUAAUGCAUGUUCUCCCCUACCCCUUAGCCCCAGUACAUUAUUAGCAUGUAACUCUGAGCCCUUUUGGUUGAAACCUGGUGUGAAAUGCUUUCUUUGAUGUUUGUGUAUAUGCAAUUGUGUUCUACAUGUGAACUACUUGUCCCCACUUCCCUUCUUCCCCUGUUUGUGUUUACUGCCCGGAAAUAUAUGAGGUAUUCUCGUUCUGAGUUUGUCAAAACUGUCACUUUCUUGCAAAAACUAGUUCUAUAUGGAUCACUUUUAAACUAUUUUUCAACUCAAUUUCUUAAAACUCUAUGUCAUUCACCCUCACUAAUACUAGAGUUCAGGUCCUACCCCCUUCGUGUAAGCAUUACCUUGGGUACCUUGGAGUACCCAUUGAACUUUGAUGCACAAGGCUAGUAAUUCCACACUUCACUUGUUCAAUAUUUUGGUAGCUUUUGGGUGCUGGUAUUGGCCAAGGACCUCAACGGGCUCUUAGGGAGCUUUGCCGCACCCAAACCAUGGCAAAGGCUGU
rnacentral:lncRNA from 1 species